rnacentral:rRNA from 1 species
GACGACGCUGGCGGCGUGGAUUAGGCAUGCAAGUCGAACGGUAUCAUCCUUUCGGGGGUGAGAGAGUGGCGAACUGGUGAGUAACACGUAGGUUAUCUACCCUCAAGACGGGACAACCCAGGGAAACUUGGGCUAAUACCGGAUGUGAGCAACUUUUAGUUGUUUGAAAGGCGGCGUAAGCUGUCGCUUGGGGAUGAGCCUGCGUCCUAUUAGUUAGUUGGUGAGGUAACGGCUCACCUAGGCAAUGAUAGGUAGGCGGCCUUAACGGGUGGUCGCCCACACUGGGAUUGAGAUACGGCCCAGACUCCUACGGGAGGCAGCAGUCGAGAAUAGUCUACAAUGGUCGGAAGACUGAUAGUGCGACGCCGCGUGAACGAUGAAUCCCUUCGGGGUGUAAAGUUCUUUUAUAUGUGAGCAGUGCUUCUUAUAUUAACAGUAUGGGGAGAGAGAUAUUAGCAUAUGAAUAAGCAACGGCUAACUCCGUG